rnacentral:lncRNA from 10 species
UAAGAAACGUAAAAGUGGACACUCCAGGGCUGGUAUAAUGGCCCAUGAUGUACAGGACUCAGGCUCCUUCUAUUUUGCUGAUCCACCAACUCUCAGCCUAAUUCAUCACUCUAUUCUUCCAAGAAACCCAUCAGGGACCAUCAAAUGUUUUCUGUUACAACACAGUCGAACUUCCUUCAAACACAGAACCAUCUGAGAAAAGUUUUCUUGCUGUUAUUUUCUUGUUUAAAAUGGUAUUUUAUUUUUGUCUCUUUCCUUGCAAUGUUAUUUUCGCACAAUAUUUUAGGCACUCUACAACAUACGCCAUAGCAUAGCUCAAAAGCUACAUCUCAUACCAGGCUUCCUCUCAAAUGCCUCUUUCAUUCUUUUAUAGAACUGUAUAAAAUAAAUCUUUCCACGUUAACAUUGCAUUAGCAUUCUUUAGAUAUUUUUCUGUCUCUCCCACUAGAAUAUCAACUCUCUAGAGGAGUGAAUUAUUUCAUAUUUGUCUUUGUCAUCCAAGCAUUUAUCAAGGUGUCUUGCAUAAUGAGGCAUUUAAUAUAUUUGUAUUUGAACUGCUUGAAGAGAAUCUAUUAUGCCAACUUUAGAAUUUAUUUUCAGAUCUUUAUGUCAAAAUUUUGCUAUCCAUUUAUAGGUCUGAAUGUGUCAAGAGUGUUUUCAGAAUCUAUAUAUUUCUACCAAAGAAAUGUGCCCACCGUUUGGAUACAGCAUUUGUGCUUGGCUCUAUAGUCAAAAAGCCAGACCUCCCAUAUAUGUAAAUCAAUAAUUUCAAAUUUCAGAAGACUCAGAUUCUUUUUAUAAUGUACUUUUUAUUUUCCUUUUACUAUUUGAGAUUCAGCUUAUAGACAUGUAACUUAGCUGAUUUUUUAAAAAAUCAAUAUAACUCCCUAUCUAACAUUUACAGAAGAAUUAAGAGGAAAGUAAUUCUAGCGUAAGUAUUUAGAUUUUUAAUUCUGUGUAAAAUUAAGUGGUCCUAUGUUUGUAAAUGUAUAAUCACCAUGAAUGUGAUGGCUAUAAAAAUGAUAUAGUAUGUCGAAUUGGUGACUAAAAAUGAUGACUGGAAUUAGUAAUAUAGUUCUUUAAAAUGGUACAACACUGUUGGCAAACUUUCAGACAAAAUAAAGCAUCAUUUUAUUUCACUUUAGACAGUAGUUGUAAUUAUAGAGAAUUUAAUCUGAAUUUAAUCUGUAUUUAAACCACACCAAAUGUAUGCUGGGUUUAUAUUUACAUGUAAGAUAGAAUUUGGGUCUAGGUUCUGAUAAUCAAACAGGUUUUCCUAUUGAGCUCUGAAACAGGAAUUUUUCCUGGAGGCAGAACAAUUCUUUAUUUUGCAUGUAUUCUACUAUCUCUGCCCACUAAACACUAAUAGCACCCUCCACAUUGUGAUAACCAAAAUUUACCCCACAUAUAACCAAAACACCCCUAGAGGACAGCAUCAUUCCCAUGGAUAACCACUAUUUGAGUGGUUAUCCACAUCUGUAGAUAAUAUAUGUGUGACUCAUACAUUUGGAUAUGGAUAUCCAUAUGGAUUUCAUAUAGAUUAGUACAAACUUUACUUGAUGAUACCUCUCCAUACACAUGACAUUUAUUAAAAUAACAAACAUCAGUAUUUAUUAAUCACUGCUUAAAUAAAAAACUUUAAAAAUAGGUGAGCUUUUCUAGUAUCAUUAAACCGUUGACAAUCUUUUUUUAGAAUAACCCUGAUAUUUACAACUAUAGCCAAUAAGAAAUCUCAUCUUGAACUGUAACAUCUUUCCACAUCUUCAAGUGCAUACGUAGCUUUGACUCUUGACUGUAGAAUUUCAGAGGCCUAUGAGUUUAUUAUUGUCUUAAAACGUAUGAUGCUCCCCCGUUUUUCUUAGGUUUUGGUCUGGAAUCACAUGUUCAGAACCCAUCAAGACCUUGAUGUUUUUAAAACUGCGCCUUUACUUCAGGCUGCAAGCCAGCAGGCUGAUGAGGUGUCUAGACCAUCAUACCUCAUUUGUCACUAACGUUUCACUCUAAUAAUGAGAAUGCUGGAGUUCAGGGACCUGGAGUCACAUUUUUGAUAGACUUCCUGAACAACUAAUUGAACUGCCCAAAUCCAAGGUCCUAGCCAUAUAGAUUUUCAUUAUCUGUACCUCUGCUGGGAAGGUGAUACAGCAGGACAAAGACCAUCCAAUAAGAUACUAUAAUAAGUUACUGACAGCAUUCUAAUACAUACAAUAGAAAAACCAACUUUGAGGCAACCUCUUCCAGACUGCUUCUGCUGGGUAGAAAUAAGCUGAUUGAAAAUGUAAUAGCUGAAGGCAGUUGCAAGAAAGAGGCAUUAUGAAAUAGGCAAAUUAAAUUCCCCUGAGCAACCAGAGUGUAGGUAGGACAAUAAAAGUGGCAUUGACUUUUCCUAGUCCAGUCCGGUUUUCUUUUUAUUUCUAACAUUCAACAAGCUUCUACAGAGUACAAUUCUGAUACUUUAAACUUCAAAAGGAAGCCAACAAACACUAGUUAAGGGAGUAUGCCCCAGAGUGUCAAAAGGUAACUUUUUCUGCCUGAAUAUGUUUCUUCAGUGCAGGUCUCCUUUGUCCACUCAUAUUUCUUAAGCACUUUCAACAAUGCCUGGCGUGUAGUAUGUUCUCAAUAAAUAAAUGUCGAAAGAAUAAUUACAUGAAUGUUCUUUAUUGUAAGUCUGGUGAUAUGCAAGUAUUGAUAAAAAUGAAUAGAAUAAGUGUCAGAAAUAGAUUAUAUUAGCUGCUUCUUUUCAAGAUUAUUUGAUGGAUUUUUUUCUUUUGGUUUAGAAUAAUAAAUU